GAUGAACGCUAGCGGCAGGCCUAACACAUGCAAGUCGAACGCUCAGUAGCAAUACUGGGAGUGGCGCACGGGUGCGUAACGCGUACACAAUCUACCUCUAAGCGGGGACACCUCCUGGAAACGGGGAUUAAUACCGCAUAAUAUGCCGAAGUCGCAUGACUUUGGUAUUAAGCAGCAAUGCACUUAGAGAUGAGUGUGCGUCCCAUUAGGUAGUUGGUGAGGUAACGGCUCACCAAGCCUAUGAUGGGUAGCCGGUCUGAGAGGAUGGGUCGGCCACACGGGCACUGAGACACGGGCCCGACUCCUACGGGAGGCAGCAGUAGGAUAUUGGUCAAUGGUGG
rnacentral:rRNA from 1 species